rnacentral:rRNA from 1 species
GUCUAUGGCCAUGCUACCCUGAACAAGCCUGAUCCCAUCUGAUCUUGGAAGCUAAGCAGGGUCGGGCCUGGUUAGUACUUGGAUGAGAGACCACCUAGGAAGACCAGGUGCUGUAAGCG